GUGCUGAAAAUAAACCUUUGUCAUCUUGUUAAAGUUGUGAAGUUCUCUCAGUGACUUUGUGUCUGUCGUUCAGGAUGAAUGUCUUGCUGUCCAUCUGUCUCUGGCUGUCUCUGAUGAUGUUAGUCUGCUGUGGAAUCAUUGAAAAGGAGACUCACACCAUGAAGACAUGUAUGAAUUCAAAGCGAAUAACUACACCUUUUAUUAUAACUUCUCUUAUGAUUAUUACUACGAUGUCUAUGAGCCUGAGCUCAUGAACAAGGCCUCAGGGAUUGGUCAGCUGAUACCGAUGCUCCUGCUGGGAUUGGCUGUCCAUCAAAUCUGGAACUGAUUGUGGGUGGAGCCAAAGACAGAGGCUUUAUCUGCGAUGAAAGUUGUAAUAAAAAAGACAAAAUAAAAGACUUUAUUU